rnacentral:rRNA from 1 species
AUUGAACGCUGGCGGCAUGCCUUACAUAUGCAAGUCGAACGGCAGCAUGGAGAGCUUGCUCUCUGAUGGCGAGUGGCGAACGGGUGAGUAAAGCAUCGGAACGUACCGUGUAGUGGGGGAUAACGUAGCGAAAGUUACGCUAAUACCGCAUACGCACUGAGGUGGAAAGCAGGGGAUCGUAAGACCUUGCGCUAUACGAGCGGCCGAUGUCAGAUUAGCUAGUCGGUAGGGUAAAGGCCUACCAAGGCGACGAUCUGUAGCGGGUCUGAGAGGAUGAUCCGCCACACUGGGACUGAGAAACGGCCCAGACUCCUACGGGAGGCAGCAGUGGGGAAUUUUGGACAAUGGGGGCAACCCUGAUUCAGCCAUGCCGCGUGAGUGAAGAAGGCCUUCGGGUUGUAAAGCUCUUUCGGCCGGGAAGAAAUCGCACAGGCUAAUACCCUGUGUGGAUGACGGUACCUGCAUAAGAAGCACCGGCUAACUACGUGCCAGCAGCCGCGGUAA